AUCAACAUGCUGACGAUUGACAUUUAGCAUUAAAAGAGCUCUCGUAACUGCUUCCUCUUCAGCUGAUGUGGCAACCUAAUUCACCCAAGCUCAUUUUACGAAGUGCGACCAGAUGUAAUCGGCCCUUGAUAAGAUAUGCAUACCAAGUUCGGUGCGCAUAUCUACAUAAGUGCUUGACCGAAGGGCUAGACGAUCAAAAGCUCGGCUACUUCCUUCGCCCGAGCUGAAGCAUGACUCGACAUCGAAAGUGGGGGGCAAACGAUGGGGGGCGAAGUGAAUCGUUCAGCCCACAGCUAAAAGGCCGCCCAGUUUGGCCCAAUAAACGCCGACACCGUCCGGUUAAAUCCUCAGUCCGGCUCAGAACCAGCUCGGCUUCGGACUCCGCCAAAAGCUCCAUCGGCUUCAAAUAUUCGCCGACUCCCCCGACCAAGUUCGAGGUGCCUCCACUAUUCGCCGAUCCGCCCCGACCAAGCUCAAGGCGCCUACUUCAGUAGUGCGCCUCGGCCCUUGAGCUCGGGGUGCUCCACCGAGCACACCUCGGAACUCGGGUAGCCGAGCUAACCCCCAGCACUCGUCUUGCCGACCUCGCCAAACGCAUGACGCAACCUCUCAACGGGCUUGGCCUCGCCAACAACCGCACCCAUGUGCAUGCCUACGCCCUCCUACGUGGCCGUACAUUACAGCACCACCGUGCCACUCUUCGAUAGCUGACCCUCGACAGUCAAAGGACGGCACCAUGACUACCCCGGCUAUACCCUGCUGUGACUAUCAACACAUUACCGUUCUCGAGAACGGACAGUACCACACGCCACCAACCGGCCUUAGCUGCGCGUCAUUUGGCUCAGAGCCACGCCCCUCAUGAUGAAGGCGGACAGUGUCUCUGCCACCUGGGCCUCUCCACUGGAACUAUAAAUAGCCCGGUCAAGUAACUUCUGAGGGACUUUUGGCUGAACCAAAUUUAUCCCACUCUAACUUGAUCGUCGGAGGGCCCUCACCGGAAACACCGGUGAAGCUUUGUGUAGGUCCGUCGCCGUCGCGCAGGAGGUGGCCUCCGUCUUCUUCUUCCAACCACCGGCGGCUCCCCUGACUCCUCCGGCAUGGUCACCCUCAGGCCAAAUUUGAACCACAACACUGCCCAUACGGACUUGUCAUUUUUACAUCAUCACUGGAUUCGAUGCAAGAGUGUAGGAUCCAUUGCUACAAGAAAAAUGGUGCAUAUUAUGUGUUAAGGCUUGCCAUGCUACAAAAUAUCAACAAACUCAUGCAUGCAUCUUUACAUGCCUGCAUAACAAUUAUGAUACGCCAACUUGCCUGAACCUCUCUGCAAACGAAAACCUUUUUGCUUGCCCUCAUUUAUCAUACUUCCCGACAACAAUUGCUCCAUGGGAUUGCAUGCAUCUUAACAUCUUGUACAUCUCCAUGCAAAUAGUUUUUUGGCAUUAGUUUCUUUAUAACAGAGAACAUUCCAGUCCUUUACAUGUCAGCAAUUUUCACUUGCAUAUUAACUGUUGGAUCUCAUAAAACUGUCAAUUGAAGUUCAAUUAACAUAAAUACCAUAUAAUACAGCAGAGUACAUGAUAACCAGCGGAAAAAAAGUAUAAAACCCAAAAAUGCCACCCUUUUUGGAAGCAUUAAAUCUUAUUGAUACUCCUCUUAACCCCUGAUCAGUAAUCUCUGCUAUUAUGUUUUAGAGUAUUCCAAGCCUUUGUACAAGGUCCUGACCCUCUAUGGUAAAACGCCACCCUUUUUGGAAGCAUUUAAUCUUAUUGAUACUCCUCUUAACCCCUGAUCAGUAAUCUCUGCUAUUAUGUUUUAGAGUAUUCCAAGCCUUUGUACAAGGUCCUGACCCUCUAUGGUAAAAUGCAGCCAUCAGUCAACAAGAUCUAUUAGAUAAGAGAUGAAAUGAAUGGUGUUUGGUUUGUUUACCUCCUAUAUCACCGCAGAACAACAUCAUUACAUAACCUGCCUCUCGUCUUUGUCUAUUUGUCCAGAAUCUCUGUUUUUGUCAACAAAUUUAUAAUUGAUCCUUCUGUAGGUAGACUCUUAAGCUGUACGUCCUCAGUUCAGCUAGAUAUGCAGUGGCACCUCAUAUUACAGAUAUGUCAAACCAAAUGUAUCUGAUGGUGAUUCCACUCUUGUGCUGGAAGCAUUGGACUCGAACAAUUUCUCGUUAGAUAAAUCUCUUUUUACCAUCAUAUAUUUAUUUAACGCUGGGGUAAAAGUACUUCUAGUCAGUAACUGGGGUCGAUCACGUGAUCCAAUGCUUCUCUCCGUCGAGUCCCUUGCGGGUCAGUAUCAUUCCUGUUCUCAAACAUGUGAUUUAUCUUUCUCGUAGAUUACUUAUAGCUCACAAUGAUGCCAAUCCCUCGUUACUGUUAUGAUCUUGCAAUCAGUUUUUCUUUUACUAUUUCGUAGUAUCUUUGAGAAAUUUUCUUUUUUUAUCAGCUUUAUUAGGCAUCAUUACUGUUAGGUUGCAGAUUGAAUGAAUAUUAGAAAAUCUCGGAUAGAUAUUUAUUGAAAUUAUCUUGGCCUAUAAUCUGAAAAAAUUAAUUCAGUUUAUUGACUUGGUUUUACUUCAACAUUAAUGAUUAAUAGACCGUUUGUCAUCACUUCUCUAAGUAAAAGUUGUGCCGGCAAAUGAUGUUUCUGGUUUGACACAGUCCAAGACGAAUAAGUGGGAGAAUGUAGAUAUUCUUCUUCUUGACAACCUGACAAUGUUCAGAGAAGAAGUUGCCAAUUGUUCCAAGUUUUCUGAGAAAUUAUCUUCAGGCACCACUAUAUUUGUUAACGAUGCUUUCUCCUUGUCACAUAAGAUUCUUGCAUCAACUGCUGGUUUCACUCGCUUUUGCCAUGCAUCUGUUGAUGGCUUCAAUUUUGAGGAGGAACUACUCCAAUUGAAAAAUAUCAGCAAAACCACUAGACAACCAUAUGUUGCUAUUGUAUAUUCUUUAUCCUCAUUCAUCUUUUAAUUAGUAGUCACCGCAAGCUAUGCAUAUUUGGUACAUAUUUUUUAUAGCAUGUUUUUUGUUUGAUUGUAAAGUGCAACAUGUUCUUUUUUUUUU